GGUGAACGCUGGCGGCGUGCCUAAUACAUGCAAGUCGAGCGAACGGACGAGAAGCUCGCUUCUCUGAUGUUAGCGGCGGACGGGUGAGUAACACGUGGAUAACCUACCUAUAAGACUGGGAUAACUUCGGGAAACCGGAGCUAAUACUGGAUAAUAUUUUGAACCGCAUGGUUCAAAAGUGAAAGACGGUCUUGCUGUCACUUAUAGAUGGAUCCGCGCUGCAUUAGCUAGUUGGUAAGGUAACGGCUUACCAAGGCAACGAUGCAUAGCCGACCUGAGAGGGUGAUCGGCCACACUGGAACUGAGACACGGUCCAGACUCCUACGGGAGGCAGCAGUAGGGAAUCUUCCGCAAUGGGCGAAAGCCUGACGGAGCAACGCCGCGUGAGUGAUGAAGGUCUUCGGAUCGUAAAACUCUGUUAUUAGGGAAGAACAUAUGUGUAAGUAACUGUGCACGUCUUGACGGUACCUAAUCAGAAAGCCACGGCUAACUACGUG
rnacentral:rRNA from 1 species